rnacentral:lncRNA from 1 species
CCAAAGUUACCACAAGUGAGCAGACAGGAGACGAGGGUGGAGGGGCACUGAGAGAUGCAAGGUCGAGCAGUGCUCUCGCUCGCCCGACCGCCCGACCGCAGUCAUCGCUCGUCUCUGGUACCUGCCCCAGAACAAUAGGCAAGUGCGAUGAUUCUUCUGUGGUCCUGCCUCCUGGUGGCUGUCGUAGGAUGUACAGAAUCAAAAAUUAAAGACAAGCAUGUGGUACCGAGAGGUUUGGAAUGAUGAGUUUCUGUCCUGGAACUCUAGUCUGUUCGAUGAUAUUCAAGAGAUCUCUCUCCCUCUCAGUGCCAUCUGGGCCCCUGAUAUCAUCAUUAAUGAGUUUGUGGAUGUCGAAAGGUCUCCUGACCUGCCCUAUGUAUACGUGAAC